UUGCUGUAGAUCCUUGCUUACCUAAGGCUUUCUGAAGGCAAGCUGUUAUCAUCCUAUUGUAGUAUUACAGCAGCUGAGGCUUUGUGGUUACCCUUCUUUGUCUUGGUUGUACCAAGGAGCUAAUAGUUUAUCUCUGCUGUUGAUACAUUUGGAACAAAACUAUCCACAAGAGUCAUUGGAGUAUGUUGCAGAUCCCCAGCAUCCAAGUGAAUUAACAAAGCUCUCCCUUUUUAGAAACAGUGGCUUGGCUCCCCAACUGGUUGUAAAUCCAGGUCUCUGCAGUGGAGCUAUUCUGAUUUACACCAGAGGAAAAUCUGGCCUCUCGCUGAGAAGAAAUGGGCUGCCAGUUUAAUUACUUCAUCCCAGUUACUCCAAGGAGGAAUAACCCUCUCAUCAUAUAUAAAAGAAAGGUUAAAAUCUAACAAACCCUUUUGGAAAUCUUGCCACAUUUCCUCCAGUCAAGAAGGAAUAGAAUUUUGCCAGGAAUUCACCAGCCAUCCAAGCCAGCUGAUAGCUCCAAUCAGUAACAGUAACACUGGAUGAUAAGGAUUUGCACUGUAGCAGCUAGAAGGCAUUUGGUUGCAAGCCAGCACCCCUACAGUUUUGCUCUGGUAGGAGCAGAACAGAAAGACAGUCAUUUUCCUAAAAGUCUUACUCAGUUAAGGCUUAAUGAAUGCGGCUCGCAGGCUUCCGUUCCUGAGAAAGGAAAGGUGAAAAGCACUUUGCAGAAUCAGAGUAAUCAUGAUUUGGGACUAUUUUUUUUUUUCCUAUUUAUCCUCUCCCAGUGUCUAUUACAGUAAGAGACCAUUUUCCUUAAAGCCUCCCUGAAGUCCAGAGGGAGUCAGGAAUGGUACUGAGUGAGUACUGAUGGGAGACACUGAAAACAAAGUUAGGGACUGGAGGGAUGUGAAGCACUCUGUUUUCAGGGCUGAGCCCAACCUGUCAACCAGGAGGAAGUUUUCUCACCUACCAGAUGCUGAUCCCUGCCAGCAAUGAGAUGGCAGACGGACAAUGAGUUUCUGGGGUUUUCAUAUUUCAGGGAAGGCUGAUGGCAGAGCUCACAUAGCUUAUCACCCAUCAUCUGCACUGCGUCCAGGGCUGCAACACAGAGCCAAGGUGCGUCCAGGCCCUGAGAUGUCUGAUCAGAGGGUGAAGGCAAUGGAGUGUGGGAAUAAAAGAAAGGAUGGUCAGGCCUUAUGGCAAUACUUGCCCUAGUGCAGAUUUUUCCAUGCAGAUAGAGGAAGGCUAUGCCUCAUCCAGACCCAUGCUUCAAAGAGUUUUCUUAAACCCUAGUGGAAAUGCUACAGCUGAGGGUGUCCCUUGUGUAAGAGAGGAUCCUAGAUGCUAUCACCGUGUCAGCCAAGCCAGGGUUCUGUAGGACUGCCUGGAAGAAGUAUUCUAAGACCUCAUGGUUUUAGUUUCCAUCAGUGGAACCAAGUUCUGCUGAAAAGGGUAUCUCCUGUGGGAAAGGAUUGCUUACUGAUGCUUUCAGAGAUAGAUAUAUGGAAUUAAAUCUAUCAAAGCAAAAAAUGCUAAUUGUUUGUGGAAUGUUAAG
rnacentral:lncRNA from 7 species